UUCUCUCCGAAUGUCUUUAGGGACAGCGUUAUAUGUUGCGCUUUGGAGGUAGAGCACUGAUUGAUCUAGGGGGCCAACAAGCUUACCAAACUCAGUCAAACUCCGAAUGCCAAAGUGUUUAAAUAUAGCAGUGAGCCCGUGGGGGAUAAGCUCCACGGACGAGAGGGAAACAACCCAGAACAACAGCUAAGGCCCCUAAUUGUAUAUUAAGUGUGAAACGAUGUGAAAGUGUUCAGACAGCCAGGAGGUUGGCUUAGAAGCAGCCAUUCCUUUAAAGAGUGCGUAACAGCUCACUGGUCGAAUGUUUUCGCGCGGAAGAUGUAACGGGGCUAAAUAUACAGCCGAAGCUUUGUCAUCAUAUUAUUAAUCCAGAUUUCGAUCCAGGAAAUAUGAUGGGUAGGAGAGCGUUGUAUGGGCAAUGAAGCAGCAACGAGAGUUAGUUGUGGAGACCAUACAAGUGAGAAUGUUGGCAUGAGUAGCGAAGGAAGAGUGAGAAUCUCUUCCGCCGAAUGUCCAAGGGUUCCUGGGGAAGGUUCGUCCGCCCAGGGUUAGUCGGGACCUAAGACGAGGUCGAGAGACGUAGCCGAUGGAUAACAGAUUGAUAUUUCUGUACCACUAUAUAAGCGCCAAAAUCGAAUAUAUGUCGCUAAGGAAAGCCUUCGGGCCUACCGACCCACAUAUUAUUAGAUUAGCAAUGGAGUGACGGAGAAGGAUAAAUGAGCCCAGGCGAUGGUUGACCUGGGGUAAAUGCGUAGGGUGAUCGACAGGUAAAUCCGUUGAUCAUGAAACCUGAGACAUGAUGCCGAGCCGCUUUUAGGCGAAGUCAUUGAUUCCAUACUUCCAAGAAAACCUUCUAGUUAGUUUAUAUAGUGCCCGUACCCCAAACCGACACAGGUGGACAAGUAGAGAAUACUAAGGCGAGCGAGAGAACUCUGGUUAAGGAACUCGGCAAAAUAGUUCCGUAACUUCGGAAGAAGGAACGCCCCAGUAAAGUGAGUGAUUAACUUCAUUAGCUUGAACGGGCCGCAGUGAUCAGACUCAAGCGACUGUUUAUCAAAAACACAGGAGGGUGCAAAGUUCGAAUACAACGUAUACCCUCUGACACCUGCCCGGUGCUGGAAGGUUAAGUGGAUAGGUUAGCUUCGGCGAAGCUUUGAAAUUAAGCCCCAGUAAACGGCGGCCGUAACUAUAACGGUCCUAAGGUAGCGAAAUUCCUUGUCGGGUAAGUUCCGACCUGCACGAAUGGUGUAACGAUUUGAGUACUGUCUCAACCAGAGACUCGGCGAAAUUGCAAUGUGAGUAAAGAUGCUCACUAUGCGCGACAGGACGGAAAGACCCCGGAACCUUUACUGCAACUUGAUAUUGAAUGUUUGUAUGCAUUAUGCAGGAUAAGUGGGAGACUAUGAAAUAAUGGCGCUAGCUGUUAUUGAGUCGACCUUGAGAUACCACUUAAUCCAUAUUGACCUUCUAACCUAGAUCCGUUAUCCGGAUCAGGGACAUUGUCUGGUGGGCAGUUUCACUGGGGCGGUGGCCUCCUAAAAAGUAACGGAGGCGCUCUAAGGUCACCUCAGCGUGGACGGCAAUCACGCAUCGAGUGUAAGUGCAAAAGGUGGCUUGACUGUGACACAAACAAGUGGAGCAGGUACGAAAGUAGGAACUAGUGAUCCCAUGGUUGCAUGUGGGUGCGCCAUGGCUCAUCGGCUAAAAGGUACUCCGGGGAUAACAGGCUUAUACCCCCCAAGAGUCCAUAUCGACGGGGGUGUUUGGCACCUCGAUGUCGGCUCUUCUCAUCCUGGGGCUGGAGCAGGUCCCAAGGGUUAGGCUGUUCGCCUAUUAAAGAGGAACGCGAGCUGGGUUCAGAACGUCGUGAGACAGUUCGGUCCCUAUCCGUCGCGCACGUAAGAAAUUUGAAGAAAGUUGUCCCUAGUACGAGAGGACCGGGAUGAACGAUCCGCUGGUGUGCCAGUUGUUCUGCCAAGAGCACCGCUGGUUAGCUACGAUCGGACGGGAUAAGCGCUGAAAGCAUCUAAGUGCGAAGCCCCUUCUAAGAUAAGAUUUCUCAUCGGGUUAACCGAUUAAGACUCCUUAUAGAACAUGAGGUUGAUAGGUCAGAAGUGUAAUUACAGUAAUGUAUGUAGCUGACUGAUACUAAUAAGUCGAGGGCUUGAACUG
rnacentral:rRNA from 1 species